rnacentral:rRNA from 1 species
UACGUAGGGUGCGAGCGUUGUCCGGAAUUAUUGGGCGUAAAGGGCUCGUAGGCGGUUUGUCGCGUCGGGAGUGAAAUCCACUGGCUUAACUGGUGGCUUGCUUUCGAUACGGGCAGACUGGAGGUAUGCAGGGGAGAACGGAAUUCCUGGUGUAGCGGUGAAAUGCGCAGAUAUCAGGAGGAACACCGGUGGCGAAGGCGGUUCUCUGGGAAUAUUCUGACGCUGAGGAGCGAAAGUGUGGGGAGCGAACAGG